UGUACCUUGUCUUUGGGGUUCCUCCUUGUGGGACCGGUUCUUGCCGAGCUUCAUGGCGGAGAACACGCUUCUCCCGGCUCUGCGAGGCGGGCCGCCAGAAUGAGGUGAAGGGAGAGGGAUGCCGGGAGGAAGACACACAAACACAGGAAAGCAAAACCCGAGAGAACACGCAAGACAUCGAGGGCUGUGAGACUGUAUGCCAGUGAAAGAACAACCUAGAACCCUUCCAUGUGCAGCAGCUCAUAGUUUAGGAAACACUAGUGUGUCCAUGGCUUUCUAAAAAUCCCAGAGAUGGGUGAAGGGAGACUGAGGGAACACCGAUGUGUCUGCCCUAGCCAGCAUCGUGUUUUCCAGAACAUAUAACAGUGGAGGAGAAGGAAAGAAAGUUUCUCCCCUUCUAACAAGGGACAGUAUCUACACAUAUGCCAACAAGAUUACGUACUUUUUCUUGAGCAACUACUAUGGACUAAAGCCUUUUCCAGAAGUUUAUGUAUUCCAUCUGUAUAGCAAUCCUGGGAGGGAGGUAUGCUUCUCCUCAUUCCACCCAAGAAAAGACAGGCUCAGAGCUAGAGUUGAAGCGCAACGCUCCUGCCUCCUAUGCCAGCAACUACGACAUCCUCAGUCCUGUGGGACUGCACUUCUGUGUCAGUGUAAAUCCCAUCCUGACCGCUUGUAACUUCAGUGAAAAGUUUCCAGGGCCCACAGUGGUAGGGCUAGGUGUGGGCUGUGUGCCAACACAGUGGGCAAAUAGGAGUGCGGUCUGUGAGGAGUCCCACAGGCUGUGCCCAGGCUUGCAGAGAAGGGGCCCAUUCACAAACAGUCUCAGCAUCAACACCUUUUGGAAGAGGCUGCUAGGAGAGUUAAUCACUGGCGACGACACAUCGCACAGAAAUAAAUAAAAAUAUUUGAAAAAAAAAAAAAAAGAAGUUGACCAUCAAACCAGCCUCUUCUGCCUCUCGGUGCACAAUUCCCAGAAACGGCAUGCCUGCUUCUCUCAGCAAAGGGCAAAGAUUAUUUUUGAACUAAAUGUUAACUUGAUCGUGGCUGUUCGAGGAUUACCCACUUGUAUCAAAGACUUAGAUUUCCAAAGCGUGUAAUUUUUUUGAUAAGGUUCCUGGUAUGCUGGGAGUACUGUGUUUUGGUUCUUGUUUUUAAAUAAAAUGCUAU